UACCAGCACCCCGAGUGGUCGGGACGAUUAUUGGGCCUAAAGCAUCCGUAGCCGGCCUUACAAGUCCUCCGUUAAAUCCAGCUGCUUAACAGAUGGGCUGCGGAGGAUACUAUAAGACUAGGAGGCAGGAGAGGCAAGCGGUACUCAGUGGGUAGGGGUAAAAUCCGUUGAUCCAUUGAAGACCACCAGUGGCGAAGGCGGCUUGCCAGAAUGCGCUCGACGGUGAGGGAUGAAAAGCUGGGG
rnacentral:rRNA from 1 species